GGAUUGAGUCAAGGGAAAGAGCAUACAAACUAGUCAGCAGAUCUGAAUGCAGGGUGCCCAUAUAGGACCACUACUGGAUGAAAGGGGCUUUGUCUGGUUCUUUAUGGAAUAUAUGGAUGAUGCUAAACACAGAAGUCUCGUGGAAUAAAGCUUUAACAGACAACAAUAUCAAAGGCCUUAUUGGCUGCAUACGAGGCCUCUAUAAUGAAGGUGAAGGGGAUGCGAGUGAACGUGCGGCCAGUUUUAACUGCUGGCUUCAGAGAUCAGCAGAACUGGCCAAGAAGGAGCUGUUAAUGUUCUGUUUCGGUCGAUAUAAAGGCUUGUGGAUGUGUUUGGAUGAAAACACUGUUGCUCUGGUCCAUAAGCUGCUCCUCAAGCUGAAGAACCUGCUUUCUCUGGUCCACCGAAACACAGUGACGGUCUGCAUUCUAAACAUGAUAAUGUACUUUGUCCUGGAUGUGUCUAACUUCCUGCACUGUAAGGAUGAUCUCCUGCAGUCAUUCUGCCAUGUCUUCAGUAUCCCAUCUGCAUUUUCUCAACAGAUUUGUGGAUUCUGGCUUCUAGAUCACGGAUUAGUAACAGACUCAAUGAAUGUCUUAUUGAGCCCAAGAGCUUGUCCUCCAACACUGUCAUGGCACCACUGUGCUGUUCUGAAGACGUUAUUGAAGACAGGAGAGAAUCGAGCAGCACUGAAGUAUCUGUACAGCAUCACACUAGCAAUGGAGAACGUACAUGACAUCAAUCUCCGUGUGGAUGUGUUAAUACACAACAAAUGUAUAUCUGAGGCCUGGGCUCUGAUUAGAGGACUCCAAACUGAAGAUGUUCACCUGUUCAAACACUUCAUUCAUGUCUAUGAGAAUCGUGGGAUUUGAAGAAAUAUGUUGGCCUCUCUAUGCGAGGGUAUGGCUCAUCUCCAGCUGAUAGAAAGCAAAAAUAUGGAGUCCAAUGAGUUACAAAUGCUAAUGCAAGAAACAGCAGGUCAACAGCCAGUAAGAACUGAAGCAGGUAAACUACUGUACAGCUGCGUUCAUCUCAAACAUACAUGUUAGCUGAAAUUAUAUAGUCCUCACGUUCUAUAUAAACUAUGUGAUUUGAUUGUGUGGGUGAUGGACAUGAAUGACAAACUCCCCGUCCACUGUCUGCAUGGCUGUUGACUCCAGGAGAUUUAGUUAAGAUCCUCAGGCAGACUAUUUCUGAGAUAUGUCCACUACCAAAGAAAAGAAGAGUGGUGCUGCUGCUGCCAAAGUACAUGGAGAACAGUGUGAAUAGAGCACAACUCUCAUCCCAGGCCUUAUGUCAUUACUUUUUCUCGCAAUUCUGAGUUUGCAGAAUUCGUAUUUUUCUCUAAAUU